CCACCGUUCGGUAAAAAUGGUUGGUAUUUCAAAAUGAUUUCCCGAAAACUGUCUUAAAACUUAAAAGGUUAUUCUAAAUGAUGGAGGUUGGGAUUACGAGAGGUUAGGGCAUUUUGAUUUUUCAUUGUCUACUCUUCUUUGAUUCUAUCACAAUAACCCAUACAUUUCAAAUUUAAAACCCUCUAAAUCAAUUUAUACUAUCCGGAAACCUCCUUGGCGCACUAUCGUGGCAAUUUCAGGCCGCCACAUACGGCGGCACCUUAUAGUUCCUCACCCUUGGCCGGCCUUUGCAGUUUAGCUUCUUCCGACACGAUGGUUGAGGUCGAUUUCAGUAUAGCCUUCGAGAAAAAUGACGAAACUAGAUCUGCGACUAUAGAAUCAGAUCUGCUACCAGACGGUGGUGGUGGGAGUUAUCGUGGGUGCGGGUGAAAGAAAAUGCGAAGAGAAACAAAAGUGGUGGUGCGCACGCAGUGGUCGUGGAGUUGGCCGUGUUGGUAUAAUUUGAACCUUAGGUGAAUGCACUUGAUUUCUUCCGAGAAGAAUUCCAUUGAGCAACUUGUGAUUGCCUUAAGUGCAGAGUCAUGUGCAAGUGUGGCUCUUGUGGUACAAGAAAGCAUACACUUAGUGAAUGGGAAAAACAUACAGGUUACAGAGCGAAAAAAAAAUGGAAACAUAGUGUGAAAGUGAAAAGUACAACUACCAAUGGAAAAAUGGUUAGUGUAUUUAUGAAUGAUGAAAGAAGCUAUGGGCAAUAUGAGCAUCACUAUUAUUGUGUAUUUGACUGGAUAUGCUUUUGUUUUUCAAGGCCAAGAUGAUCACCUCCUUGAAUCACUUGGUUCUAUUCAAUUUCUGAUGAAGUUGUUAAAACCAAUUGUCUCCACAACAAAAUUUGGCUAUAAACUUUUAUCAUUGCGUCAGAAUGAUGACAUGUUGAAAAAUACGACUAUGACGGGAAGAUUGGAUUCCAGUUCUGCAGAAGUUUUUUCUAGAGUUCAAGAAAUUCUAGUAAAUUGCAAAGAACUGAAAACAUGUCAGAAUGACAGUAGGGGGAGAGACCAGAGUUAUGCGAAAAUGGUUAGCAUUGCUGACUAUGGAAAAGGCUUGUUUGUCUGCCAUUUCUCUUGAUUGUAUCGUAAAGGACAUUUAUUUCCAGUUUGUAUUAUUGGCUGAAGAUGUUCUUUUCCCUCUAUUAUAUUGUGUUCUUUUAAAUGCCAAUAUUGGUAUUUUUGCUCAAAAAUAAUGCAGACAACCAAAUCUAUUCAUUUAUAUUUUA